rnacentral:rRNA from 1 species
AUUGAACGCUGGCGGCAGGCCUAACACAUGCAAGUCGAACGGUAACAGGAAGAAGCUUGCUUCUUUGCUGACGAGUGGCGGACGGGUGAGUAAUGUCUGGGAAACUGCCUGAUGGAGGGGGAUAACUACUGGAAACGGUAGCUAAUACCGCAUAACGUCGCAAGACCAAAGAGGGGGACCUUCGGGCCUCUUGCUAUCGGAUGUGCCCAGAUGGGAUUAGCUAGUAGGUGGGGUAACGGCUCACCUAGGCGACGACCCCUAGCUGGUCUGAGAGGAUGACCAGCCACACUGGAACUGAGACACGGUCCAGACUCCUACGGGAGGCAGCAGUGGGGAAUAUUGCACAAUGGGCGCAAGCCUGAUGCAGCCAUGCCGCGUGUAUGAAGAAGGCCUUCGGGUUGUAAAGUACUUUCAGCGGGGAGGAAGGGAGUAAAGUUAAUACCUUUGCUCAUUGACGUUACCCGCAGAAGAAGCACCGGCUAACUCCGUG